UUCGCCAAAGCUAAGUUCAUUUCUAGAGAUUAACAGUGGACGCGAUAACAGCUAACGCCAGGUUCGGAUAUUGAGGUAAAUAUGGAUUUUAAAGUCUUCAUCUUCACAUUGGUGGUGUGUAUUGCUGUUACUAUGGCAACCUUUCCCCUGAAUGACGAGGAAUGGAAUGCAGAUGACCUGUUCGAUGAUUUCGAGGAGGAAAAAAGGGGCGAACCGCCCAUUGCAGGACCGGAAGUACAUUUCUUAGAUGCCGUGGUGAAGAGGGCGAAGCCAUUUUUAUGCGUGAAUCCAGAAAACCAAUACUGCUGGUGUGACUACAGAUUUAAAGACGAAAGGCGUUAUUCGGCUUGCGGGCUACGGGCGGUAUUGGGUAAUACGGACGACGAUUGAGGAACAUUUCAAAACCUGGGUCCUGACAGAAAUCAUCUUGAAAGAACUAGUUUCGAGUAUUGUUAUAAAGACUGAAGUCAUAUUCUUGAACAUUUCAUCGAAAUUCACGUACGAGAGAAUUCAUGUAAAAUUUCUGUAUUCAAUAUUCAAAUGUAACAUUCUUGUUAUUUAUAUGGUCAUUUGUGUGAACUUUUGAUGUAUAGAACAACAAGCUAUGAUGUUAUGGGCAAAAGGUUAAAUUUUACUUAUUCUAUCAUGUUAAUGUCAAUUUCGUUUUAGCAAUUGCAUUCAACUGGAAAACAGAGAUAGGUCUGAACGGUGAUGAUGAUCGUGGUUAAGAAAAACAAAAUCUUAAUCACCAGAAAUUAUUUGAAGAUAUGGAAAAAAGGACUUGUCGUGAUAGAACAUUCUUCACUACUGCACCCCGUCUCUGGAACUCUCUUUUCCACACAAUAUUUGGAUCUCACUGACUCUUUAGUCAUUCUAAAGAA